rnacentral:rRNA from 1 species
UACGGAGGAUGCAAGCGUUAUCCGGAAUGAUUGGGCGUAAAGCGUCCGCAGGUGGCUGUGUAAGUCUGCUGUCAAAGAGCGAAGCUCAACUUCGUAAAGGCAGUGGAAACUACACGGCUAGAGUGCGUUCGGGGCAGAGGGAAUUCCUGGUGUAGCGGUGAAAUGCGUAGAGAUCAGGAAGAACACCGGUGGCGAAGGCGCUCUGCUAGGCCGCAACUGACACUGAGGGACGAAAGCUAGGGGAGCGAAUUGG